rnacentral:rRNA from 1 species
AUUGAACGCUAGCGGGAUGCUUUACACAUGCAAGUCGAACGCGUGGCGGACGGGUGAGUAAUAUAUCGGAACGUGCCCAGUAGCGGGGGAUAACUACUCGAAAGAGUGGCUCAUACCGCAUACUAUUGGAUAGUCCGAUAUCGGAUUAGCUAGUUGGUGGGGUAAAGGCGCACCAAGGCAACGAUCCGUAGCUGGUGUGAGAGGAAGACCAGCCACACUGGGACUGAGACACGGCCCAGACUCCUACGGGAGGCAUCAGUGGGGAAUUUUGGACAAUGGGGGAAACCCUGAUCCAGCCAUCCCGCGUGUAUGAGAAGGCCUUCGGGUUGGAAAGUACUUUUGGCAGAGAAGCGGUAUCUGCAGAAUAAGCACCGGCUAACUACGUGCCAGCAGCCGCGGUAAUUC